rnacentral:rRNA from 1 species
UACGUAGGGGCCAAGCGUUGUCCGGAUUUAUUGGGCGUAAAGAGCUCGUAGGCGGUUGGGUAAGUCGGGUGUGAAAAACUCCAGGCUCAACUUUGGAGACGCCACCCCGAUACUGCUCUGACUUGAGUUCGGUAGGGGGAGUGGGGGAAUUCCUGGUGUAGCGGUGAAAAUGCGCAGAUAUCAGGAGGAACACCGGUGGCGAAGGCGGGGUCUCUGGGGCCGAUACUGACGCUGAGGAGCGAAAAGCGUGGGGGAGCGAACAGG